GAUUAAAAUUUUCAUCUAUUUCUAUUGUUAAAAACCGAUGUGAUUGAUAAAACAACCAAAUAGUUACAUGUGGUGUUCCAUGUACCUUAUUCUAAUGUAUAUAGACUAAUUUUUAACCGUAGAAAUAAAUUAAAUUUAAAA
rfam:Gossypium hirsutum cultivar TM-1 chromosome 17, whole genome shotgun sequence